rnacentral:rRNA from 1 species
GACGAACGCUGGCGGCGUGCUUAACGCAUGCAAGUCGAACGGAAAGGCCCAGCUUGCUGGGUGCUCGAGUGGCGAACGGGUGAGUAACACGUGGGUGAUCUGCCUCUAACUUCGGGAUAAGCUUGGGAAACUGGGUCUAAUACCGGAUAGGACAAUCGUUUAGUGUCGGUUGUGGAAAGUUUUUUCGGUUAGGGAUGAGCCCGCGGCCUAUCAGCUUGUUGGUGGGGUAAUGGCCUACCAAGGCGUCGACGGGUAGCCGGCCUGAGAGGGUGGACGGCCACAUUGGGACUGAGAUACGGCCCAGACUCCUACGGGAGGCAGCAGUGGGGAAUAUUGCACAAUGGGCGCAAGCCUGAUGCAGCGACGCCGCGUGGGGGAUGACGGCCUUCGGGUUGUAAACCUCUUUCGACAGGGACGAAGCUUUGGUGACGGUACCUGUAGAAGAAGCACCGGCUAACUACGUG